GACGAACGCUGGCGGCGUGCUUAACACAUGCAAGUCGAACGGAAAGGCCCUGCUUUUGUGGGGUGCUCGAGUGGCGAACGGGUUAGUAACACGUGAGUAACCUGCCCUUGACUUUGGGAUAACUUCAGGAAACUGUGGCUAAUACCGGAUAGGAUCUCCUGCUGCAUGGUGGGUGUUGGAAAGUUUCGGCGGUUGGGGAUGGACUCGAGGCUUAUCAGAUUUUUGGUGGGGUAGUGGCUUACCAAGGCUUUGACGGGUAGCAGGCCUGGGAGGGUGACCGGCCACAUUGGGACUGAGAUACGGCACAGACUCCUCCGGGAGGCAGGAGUGGAGAAUGUUGCACAAUGGGAGGAAGCGUGAUGCAGCGACGCCGCGUGCGGGAUGACGGCAUUCGGGUUGUAAACCGCUUUCGCCUGUGAUGAAGCGUGAGUGACGGUAAUGGGUAAAGAAGCACCGGCUAACUACGUG
rnacentral:rRNA from 1 species